AGUGAACGCUGGCGGUAGGCCUAACACAUGCAAGUCGAACGGCAGCACAGUAAGAGCUUGCUCUUACGGGUGGCGAGUGGCGGACGGGUGAGGAAUACAUCUGAAUCUACUUUUUCGUGGGGGAUAACGUAGGGAAACUUACGCUAAUACCGCAUACGACCUACGGGUGAAAGCAGGGGAUCUUCGGACCUUGCGCGAUUGAAUGAGCCGAUGUCGGAUUAGCUAGUUGGCGGGGUAAAGGCCCACCAGGGCGACGAUCCGUAGCUGGUCUGAGAGGAUGAUCAGCGACACGGGAACUGAGACACGGUCCAGACUCCUACGGGAGGCAGCAGUGGGGAAUAUUGGACAAUGGGCGCAAGCCUGAUCCAGCCAUACCGCGUGGGUGAAGAAGGCCUUCGGGUUGUAAAGCCCUUUUGUUGGGAAAGAAAAGCAGCAGGUUAAUACCCCGCUGUUCUGACGGUACCCAAAGAAUAAGCACCGGCUAACUUCGUG
rnacentral:rRNA from 1 species